rnacentral:rRNA from 1 species
ACGGGAGGCAGCAGUCGGGAAUAUUGCGCAAUGGAGGGAACUCUGACGCAGUGACGCCGCGUAUAGGAAGAAGGUUUUCGGAUUGUAAACUAUUUUAGACAGGGAAGAAAAUGACAGUACCUGUAGAAUAAGCUCCGGCUAACUACGUGCCAGCAGCCGCGGUAAUACGUAGGGAGCAAGCGUUAUCCGGAUUUACUGGGUGUAAAGGGAGCGUAGACGGCAAAGCAAGUCUGAAGUGAAAUCCCGGGGCUCAACCCCGGAACUGCUUUGGAAACUGUUUAGCUGGAGUGCAGGAGAGGUAAGCGGAAUUCCUAGUGUAGCGGUGAAAUGCGUAGAUAUUAGGAGGAACACCAGUGGCGAGGGCGGCUUACUGGACUGUAACUGACGUUGAGGCUCGAAAGCGUGGGGAGCAAACAGGAUUAGAUACCCUGGUA